UACGUAGGGUGCGAGCGUUAAUCGGAAUUACUGGCGUAAAGCGUGCGCAGGCGGUUUUGUAAGCCAGAUGUGAAAGCCCCGGGCUUAACCUGGGAAUUGCAUUCGAGACUGCUCUGCUAGGGUGCGGAAGAGGGAAGCGGAAUUUCCGGUGUAGCGGUGAAAUGCGUAGAUAUCGGAAGGAACACCAGUGGCGAAAGCGGCUUCCUGGUCCAGCACCGACGUUCAGGCACGAAAGCGUGGGGAGCAAACAGG
rnacentral:rRNA from 1 species